UGAUGUACUACACAUACAUCGAAUUUCCGUUCAGCACCUCAUUCCAUAUAUCGAACGCUGUGCCGCGCAACACCCCUACAAGUGCACUUCUCCUAACGGGGACGCGAUCACUUCUCGUGUUAACGGAAAUAUUUAAUGCUGACCGGUUUGAAAUGGCACUGUUUUGGCAAAUGCUGUCAAACGAGAUUGAAUCUGAAGGGCAGUACAUGCCAUGGAGAAAAAAAGAGCAGGGUGUGCAUAUUGAUUUUGCUU
rnacentral:lncRNA from 1 species